rnacentral:lncRNA from 1 species
AGAAAAGGUGUUUAUCGCUUACCUGUUUUCAUGGAACACUUGCUUGAACCAUGCUAAAGACUCACAAUCCUACUGAUGGACAACUGUAGUGUUUGAAUGAGAGGUACGCACAGCCAUAGCCAGUUUUCUGGAGACCCAAACUCAAGAUCUCAUGAUGAGCAUCACAGAAGGCCCAUUCAGCCCAAGCUAUAUAUGGAAUCCUUUCAAGAACCAACCAACAGUAAUAAACAAUGCUUGCCUUCCACUCUA